rnacentral:rRNA from 1 species
CAGUAGCCACGGUAAUACGGAGGGGGCUAGCGUUGUUCGGAAUUACUGGGCGUAAAGCGCACGUAGGCGGCUUGGUAAGUUAGAGGUGAAAGCCUGGAGCUCAACUCCAGAAUUGCCUUUAAGACUGCCGAUCUAGCAGGUGAGAGAGGUAAGUGGAAUUCCGAGUGUAGAGGUGAAAUUCGUAGAUAUUCGGAAGAACACCAGUGGCGAAGGCGGCUUACUGGCUCAUACUGGACGCUGAGGUGCGAAAGCGUGGGGAGCAAACAGGAUUAGAUACCCCUGUAGUCCCUGUCUCUUAUAC